CCUGAGCUCGGGCACAACACUUACCACGUUCUUCCUCACCAGCUCCUCGUAGCUCAGCGCGUCCGCAUCGCAGGGAGCUGUGAGAGGGCAGUGUCACCAGUGUGACGGGGGAGAAGCCGUGUGCCUGGCCCUGUGCCACCAGAUUCUCCACAUCCUCUUCCUGGAUGUCCUCAUGCUCCACAAAGUCAUCUGCAGGAAGGGCAGACCGUGCUCAGAACCCCCGUGGCCCCUGCAGCAGCUCAGCCCUGGGGGCUCCAGCAUUACCUGCUGCUUCCCCAUCCUCCUCGCCCCGCUCCUUCUCCAGUGCAUCCAGCUCUUCCUCCUCCUCUUCGUGCUCCGGUGGCAGCGACAAGGGUGGCCCCUGGGGAAAAGCAGCACUGAGCCCCCACCCAACGUGGCUCCCACCAUCCUCCAACCCUGCCUGCAUCCUCACCAUCCUGCUCUGCAGCUUCCUCUGUGCCACGAACCGCUCCUUCUGCUGCUUCCAGUACAGCACCUCCAGAUCUGCACAGACAGUACGGGCACAGGUCAACACUGUCAACCUGCAUCCCCUGACAGGAUGAGGCUUCCUGGGUCCCCUGUGUAGUUUUGGGGCUUCAGCCCUGCCUGAGCGCCCAUCCUCCUCUCUGCACAUCACACCACUGCUGCGCCAACAAGCUGGGAGCUCCCCAGCCUCCCUGAAAGCAGGGAGGCUUUGCAGCAAAAAGGGGCAAGGCUCUGUUGUAGCAACGUUUAGAGGCUGCUUUUCAAAUGAGGAAUGGCUGCAGGACUGGAAGUCACAGAUUUCUGUGUCGUGAAUGUUAAACACAACAAAUCCUCAUCCAUCUUAAGCUGUCAAACUGCUUAUUCCUCCCAUGUCCUUCGCUUCAGCCCUCACACAGCCUUGCCACAGCAACCUGAGCUUUGCAGCCUGCGGGGUGCCUCUUCUCCAAGGUGUUUAUCUCUGUUUCAGCUCUCAGUCACCCCAAUAAGGAUUACUGCCUGUUGGCAAACCCAACCCCACAAGGGAUUCACAGCACAACUGCUGCACUUGGAGCCCUGCACAUUGCUGCAGCCUGCACCCCAACUCACCAGCAAACGUCGGUCCUUUCCUCCUGCUUUUCCUGCAGUCAGCACUGUUGUUGUCUUGAGAAGAACAGGAGUGCAGUUAGAAACCCCUACAGGUGCAGCCCAGUGAGGAAACCAGGCAGCAGCACCCAGGUAAGGUCCGGCCACAACACUCACAGGUUGCAGAAAACCAUUUCAAGAAGUCCUGAAGCUUUCUGGGUCCCUUCCUUUUCCGCUUGCUACCAACCACGUCAUCCAUGCCGUGCGGCACCAGGAAAGGCCUCCCUGCAGGGCAGAAGGAGAUGAUCUGCAGGGAGAACCCCGUUCCACCCCUUGGAGGUGAGCAGCCCCAAGGCAGGGGAGCAGGCACUUCCGCAGCCCCACCUCAAAUACCUUUCCUGAAGGGUUUGUCUUCAGAGUCACCAAAGGGGUCGAGGCUUUGCCACGGAUCCAGCAUCUCCUGGUGGAAGAAGCGAGUGUGUAUGAGCGCUGGCAGAGCACUGUGGGGCACACUGCAGCUCUGCAAACCCUUCCAUGGGUAUUGGUGCAGCACUAAGUGCAGUGCAGAGCGCUUCCCACAGCGUCCAGGCUUUGAAAGGACAAGAGGUGAAGGUCUUGUGUUGCACCAGAGGGUCAGGGUGUGUAUUAGGAAAAAAAUCCUCCAAAUGAGUGGUCAGGCUACUGCCCAGGGCAGUGGAGAAGUCCCCACCCCUGGAGGCAGUGAAGAAACAUGAAGAUGCAGCGCUUGGGGAUAUGGUUUAGAGUGCAUCGUGGUGAUGGGUUGACAGUUGGACUUAUCUGUCUUUGAGGUCUUUUCCCACCUCCGUGAUUCUAUGAUUUGCUUUUGCUCUGUGCCCCCCCUACCUUGAUGUGGGGCUGAAGGUCCUCAGCAGGGGCUCGCUGCCGCAGCACGUAACCUUUCACCUGGGGCACACUCUGGCAGACACAGGAGGAGCGUCAGGCAGUGAGCAGCAGGGCAGCCAGGCUCCAGGGCCCUACUGAAC